UAAGCAAAGCGGAGGAAGCUGGACUUCUGGGGCUCAGCAGAAGCAGCUGGACCCUAAGAGGGACUUUUCAAGUGGGUGUAAGAAGAUGAAAACCUAGAGGCUCAUGGGAAGGGGAGUGACAGGUGCAUGGGAAAGCCGACAGCUGAGUUCCCAGCCCAUCUCCAGCCAUGAGGAUCCUUUACCUUCUGCUUCUUGUUCUCUUCCUCAGCCUCCAGGCAGCUCAAGGAAGCUUUUUAUUUAGAGGCACUCGGAAAUGUAAAAGCAACUGGUCUCGUACGGGUGGCCAGUGCCGACUGUGGGGCUGCAGAUUUGGUGAGGAACGGACUGGAACAUGCCUGGCAGGGGUCAUGAUCUAUUGCCACCCGAAGCACUAACCCAUCCCCCACAUGCUGAGUUGUGCAGCUGCAGAACGGAGACGAGUGACAGCAAGAGCCACGUAGACCGUAAGCUCCAGGGACCUCUGGGUGCUGCACCGAGCCCCCCCUGGGCACUCAGACAAUAAAUAAAACAAUCAAUCCGUGUCCGUUGGUGCCUCGAUGCUGUGCUGAUGGACUCUCUAAGCAGGCCACGGAACACAGAUGAAAGCAAGAGCCUGAUUCUCCACCUGCCUGCCUUGCCUGGAGUGCCAUAGCUCUGUGCCGAGUGGGGGUGGAAGGACGCCCCACGAGAAUGGUAGCUGAUUGCAGAAGGCGCAAGGCCAUGGACAAUCAGUCCCAAGCCAUUAAAUCAUCUUUCUUUGGUAAAAAUGAAUGCAUGUGUGACCUACAUGCAGGAUGAGCCAGGCUGGGCCCCUUGUCAAAGGGGCAGCUCCUGAAGGGGUGGGGUCUCUGGCAGAAGGGAUA